rnacentral:rRNA from 1 species
UACGUAGGGGGCAAGCGUUGUCCGGAAUUAUUGGGCGUAAAGCGCGUGUAGGCGGCUUGGUAAGUCUGGUGUGAAAACUUGGGGCUCAACCCCAAGCCUGCACUGGAUACUGCCUGGCUAGAGUCCGGGAGGGGAGAGCGGAAUUCCCAGUGUAGCGGUGAAAUGCGCAGAUAUUGGGAAGAACACCGGUGGCGAAGGCGGCUCUCUGGAGCGGUACUGACGCUGAGACGCGAAAGCGUGGGGAGCGAACAGG